UCCAUAUGAUGAUUUCCACUUCUGGUCCGUGUUUAUGAAUUCUGUGAUUUCUGUGGAAGUUCUGAUGAG